CUUGGUCAUUUAGAGGAAGUAAAAGUCGUAACAAGGUUUCCGUAGGUGAACCUGCGGAAGGAUCAUUAUCGAUUUUUAAGGAUGUGCUGGCACUCCUUCACCGGUUUGCAUGUGCACUCUGCAAAAUCUCCUUCUCUUACCCCACUGUGCACACCCAAGUAGACAAACAGAGUUACAGAGCAAUCUGUGUAAUUCCUGAUUUGCCUAUGUUUUUAUCAAACACCAAUAACAAUCUCAGAAUGAUCUAUAUAGUAAGCUUUUAACAAGCUGAAAUUUAAUACAACUUUCAACAAUGGAUCUCUUGGUUCUCGCAUCGAUGAAGAACGCAGCGAAUUGCGAUAUGUAAUGUGAAUUGCAGAAUUCAGUGAAUCAUCGAAUCUUUGAACGCACCUUGCACCCUCUGGCAUUCCGGAGGGUAUGCCUGUUUGAGUGUCAUUAAUCUCUCAACGCAAGAAACUUUGUCUUCUUGUGCUUGGAUAUUGAAGGUUUUGCUGGCGCAAACAACUGUCAGCUCCUUUUAAAUGUAUUAGCAGAGCAGUAUGGGACUGGCCUCAGUUUGAUAAGAAACUUUAUCUAUGCUGCCGCUGGGUUUUCCUCUUUGUGCUCAGCUUCAAAUUGUCUUCGGACUGUCUCUUGAGGCAACAAAAUCUCUAUUGAUCGACCUCAAAUCAGGUAGGACUACCCGCUGAACUUAAGCAUAUCAAUAAGCGGAGGA
rnacentral:rRNA from 1 species